CCUGGCUCAGGAUGAACGCUAGCUACAGGCUUAACACAUGCAAGUCGAGGGGCAGCAUGGUCUUAGCUUGCUAAGGCCGAUGGCGACCGGCGCACGGGUGAGUAACACGUAUCCAACCUGCCGUCUACUCUUGGACAGCCUUCUGAAAGGAAGAUUAAUACAAGAUGGCAUCAUGAGUCCGCAUGUUCACAUGAUUAAAGGUAUUCCGGUAGACGAUGGGGAUGCGUUCCAUUAGAUAGUAGGCGGGGUAACGGCCCACCUAGUCUUCGAUGGAUAGGGGUUCUGAGAGGAAGGUCCCCCACAUUGGAACUGAGACACGGUCCAAACUCCUACGGGAGGCAGCAGUGAGGAAUAUUGGUCAAUGGGCGAGAGCCUGAACCAUCCAAGUAGCGUGAAGGAUGACUGCCCUAUGGGUUGUAAACUUCUUUUAUAAAGGAAUACAGUCGGGUAUGGAUACCCGUUUGCAUGUACUUUAUGAAUAAGGAUCGGCUAACUCCGUGCCAGCAGCCGCGGUAAUACCGAGGAUCCGAGCGUUAUCCGGAUUUAUUGGGUUUAAAGGGAGCGUAGAUGGAUGUCUAAGUCAGUUGUGAAACUUCGCGGCUCAACCGUAAAAUUGCAGUUGAUACUGGAUAUCUUGAGUGCAGUUGAGGCAGGCGGAAUUCGUGGUGUAGCGGUGAAAUGCUUAGAUAUCACGAAGAACUCCGAUUGCGAAGGCAGCCUGCUAAGCUGCAACUGACAUUGAGGCUCGAAAGUGUGGGUAUCAAACAGGAUUAGAUACCCUGGUAGUCCACACGGUAAACGAUGAAUACUCGCUGUUUGCGAUAUACUGCAAGCGGCCAAGCGAAAGCGUUAAGUAUUCCACCUGGGGAGUACGCCGGCAACGGUGAAACUCAAAGGAAUUGACGGGGGCCCGCACAAGCGGAGGAACAUGUGGUUUAAUUCGAUGAUACGCGAGGAACCUUACCCGGGCUUAAAUUGCAGAUGAAUUACGGUGAAAGCCGUAAGCCGCAAGGCAUCUGUGAAGGUGCUGCAUGGUUGUCGUCAGCUCGUGCCGUGAGGUGUCGGCUUAAGUGCCAUAACGAGCGCAACCCUUGUUGUCAGUUACUAACAGGUUCCGCUGAGGACUCUGACAAGACUGCCAUCGUAAGAUGUGAGGAAGGUGGGGAUGACGUCAAAUCAGCACGGCCCUUACGUCCGGGGCUACACACGUGUUACAAUGGGGGGUACAGAGGGCCGCUACCACGCGAGUGGAUGCCAAUCCCCAAAACCUCUCUCAGUUCGGACUGGAGUCUGCAACCCGACUCCACGAAGCUGGAUUCGCUAGUAAUCGCGCAUCAGCCACGGCGCGGUGAAUACGUUCCCGGGCCUUGUACACACCGCCC
rnacentral:rRNA from 1 species